UGAUUUGUUGCCUUGAUGCCUGU
rnacentral:misc_RNA from 1 species